rnacentral:rRNA from 1 species
AUUGAACGCUGGCGGCAGGCCUAACACAUGCAAGUCGAACGGUAACAGGAAACAGCUUGCUGUUUCGCUGACGAGUGGCGGACGGGUGAGUAUGUCGGGGAAACUGCCUGAUGGAGGGGGAUAACUACUGGAAACGGUAGCUAAUACCGCAUAACGUCGCAAGACCAAAGAGGGGGACCCUCGGGCCUCUUGCCAUCGGAUGUGCCCAGAUGGGAUUAGCUUGUUGGUGGGGUAACGGCUCACCAAGGCGACGAUCCCUAGCUGGUCUGAGAGGAUGACCAGCCACACUGGAACUGAGACACGGUCCAGACUCCUACGGGAGGCAGCAGUGGGGAAUAUUGCACAAUGGGCGCAAGCCUGAUGCAGCCAUGCCGCGUGUAUGAAGAAGGCCUUCGGGUUGUAAAGUACUUUCAGCGGGGAGGAAGGGAGUAAAGUUAAUACCUUUGCUCAUUGACGUUACCCGCAGAAGAAGCACCGGCUAACUCCGUG